UACGUAGGGACCAAGCGUUGUUCGGAUUUACUGGGCGUAAAGGGCGCGUAGGCGGCGCGGUAAGUCACUUGUGAAAUCUCUGAGCUUAACUCAGAACGGCCAAGUGAUACUGCAGUGCUAGAGUGUGGAAGGGGCAAUCGGAAUUCUUGGUGUAGCGGUGAAAGUGCGUAGAUAUCAAGAGGAACACCUGAGGUGAAGACGGGUUGCUGGGCCAACACUGACGCUGAUGCGCGAAAGCCAGGGGAGCGAACGGG
rnacentral:rRNA from 1 species